UACGGAGGGUGCAAGCGUUAUCCGGAUUCACUGGGUUUAAAGGGUGCGUAGGUGGGUUGGUAAGUCAGUGGUGAAAUCUCCGAGCUUAACUUGGAAACUGCCAUUGAUACUAUUAAUCUUGAAUAUUGUGGAGGUCAGCGGAAUAUGUCAUGUAGCGGUGAAAUGCUUAGAGAUGACAUAGAACACCAAUUGCGAAGGCAGCUGGCUACACAUAUAUUGACACUGAGGCACGAAAGCGUGGGGAGCAA
rnacentral:rRNA from 1 species